rnacentral:rRNA from 1 species
GGAAUCUUCGGCAAUGGGGGCAACCCUGACCGAGCAACGCCGCGUGAGUGAAGAAGGUUUUCGGAUCGUAAAGCUCUGUUGUAAGAGAAGAACGUGUGUGAGAGUGGAAAGUUCACACAGUGACGGUAACUACAGAAGGGACGGCUAACUACGUGCCAG